rnacentral:rRNA from 1 species
UCUACGGGGGGCUGCAGUGGGGAAUAUUGGACAAUGGGCGAAAGCCUGAUCCAGCCAUGCCGCGUGUGUGAAGAAGGCCUUCGGGUUGUAAAGCACUUUCAGUGGGGAAGAAAGCCUUGGGGCUAAUACCCUCGAGGAAGGACAUCACCCACAGAAGAAGCACCGGCUACACUCCGUGCCAGCAGCCGCGGUAAUACGGAGGGUGCGAGCGUUAAUCGGAAUUACUGGGCGUAAAGCGCGCGUAGGCGGUCUGAUAAGCCGGUUGUGAAAGCCCCGGGCUCAACCUGGGAACGGCAUCCGGAACUGUCAGGCUAGAGUGCAGGAGAGGAAGGUAGAAUUCCCGGUGUAGCGGUGAAAUGCGUAGAGAUCGGGAGGAAUACCAGUGGCGAAGGCGGCCUUCUGGACUGACACUGACGCUGAGGUGCGAAAGCGUGGGUAGCAAACAGGAUUAGAUACCCGGGUAGUC